rnacentral:sRNA from 12 species
UAGAGGUACAGAUAGAGAUAUACUGUUUACAUUCAAUGUUUGAUGUUCUAUUAAGCGUACUGUAGUACGCCGACUUGAAUGGGUAGCUGCCAUUGGUGGCUAUUUUUUUACAUU